rnacentral:lncRNA from 1 species
GCUUGCGAACUUGUUCAAGCGUCACAAAAAGCACCACCGUGAACGGCCCCUGUCUCGAAAUCGUCGGUAUAAACCCUUUGUAAAGAGCCAUCGGCCCCUCCGCCCUAACCGUCUUCAAAGCACAAUCAACCGCUCCCUUAUACGGCGGAGCCACCCCUUCCUCCACCUUCAUAUUCAUCACACGUGUCUUAAUCACAUCCACCGGAUUCGACGCCACCGACGCCACAAACCCCGCUGCAAAACUAGCAGUCACGUGCGUCCCCAAUCCGUCACUCAUAAUCCCCUUUUUAAUAAUCGUUUCUUUAAACUGAUCGUACGACGCUAACUGUGACGCCGUUACAAUCAUCGCGCGGUUCACCGUAAGCGAUGAGCCUCUCCACAGGCUAGUAACUCCCUCCUGUUUCACCAUUCUCGUGAUCGCGUCACCGACGGAUUUGUAGUUCCGUCGUUGCGCCACCGGAAGCCUACCGUCGGCUUGCAUUCUCACCAUCGCAACGUCCGCCGGAUUCCCCACAGCGGCGCCGAUGCCGCCGGCGAGCAGUCCGGCGGUGAUUUUCCGAGUUAACGGAAAAGUUCCGGUGGCUUCAUCAGUCCAUUUGUUACGAAAAAUCUCGUAAAGUCCCAUUCUGGUAGUGGAAUACAACGUCUGGCGGAGAACGGUGGCGGAGAUGCCGGAGAACAAGGCGGAGACGCCUUCGGUUUGGUAGAUCUUCAAACCGACAGAAACCGGUCCAGAUUUGGCUACAGUGGCCACCUGCGGCGGCGCGUGAGGCAUUGCAACUGUGGAUCCAACGCCGCCGUUAUAGGCGAAGGCAGGGCGGAGGCUAGGGUUUGAAACAGGAACAGCAGGUGCAGAUUCGCCUUGUAACUGCAUCCGGACUUUGAUGAGAUCGAGAGGGUGAGUGGAACAUCCGGCCACAAUGGAGGCGAUUCCACCUUCAACAAAUCCCUUAGCUCCCAUAUUAAAGAAUCAACAAAGAAUGAAAGAAUGGAAUAAUUAGUGUAGAAGAGAAGAGACUAAGAGGAAGAGGACCAGUUAGGGGUGAGGUCACUGGAGACAAGGAGAUGAGAAUGAAGCUGAAAAGCUACGGAAGAAGAAUGGGGAACGUGUGGAAGGAGGGUGGAAGACGCGUUUUAGUGCCCUAAUUCAGUAAUUUGGGCUGGCUGGGGGAGGCUGUUUCU